GACGAACGCUGGCGGCGUGCUUAACACAUGCAAGUCGAACGGAAAGGCCCUGCUUUUGUGGGGUGCUCGAGUGGCGAACGGGUGAGUAACACGUGAGUAACCUGCCCUUGACUUUGGGAUAACUUCAGGAAACUGGGGCUAAUACCGGAUAGGAGCUCCUGCUGCAUGGUGGGGGUUGGAAAGUUUCGGCGGUUGGGGAUGGACUCGCGGCUUAUCAGCUUGUUGGUGGGGUAGUGGCUUACCAAGGCUUUGACGGGUAGCCGGCCUGAGAGGUUGACCGGCCACAUUGGGACUGAGAUACGGCCCAGACUCCUACGGGAGGCAGCAGUGGGGAAUAUUGCACAAUGGGCGGAAGCCUGAUGCAGCAACGCCGCGUUCGGGAUGACGGCCUUCGGGUUGUAAACCGCUUUCGCCUGUGACGAAGCGUGAGUGACGGUAAUGGGUAAAGAAGCACCGGCUAACUACGUG
rnacentral:rRNA from 1 species